rnacentral:tRNA from 1 species
GGACGAUUAGCUCAGCUGGUUAGAGCACUGCAUUCACAUUGCAGGGGUCGCAGGUUCAAGUCCCGCAUCGUCCACCA